ensembl:snoRNA
GCCAGCUGCCUUUGAGACCCCACCACUCUCCUCGUGGCGCCUGGGGUUAAGCUGCAGCCGCACAGCACAACACAUUACUGGGACUGCCUGCCCAUUGCGGGAGGUCCUUUUAACUGCCAGCUACAGGG